rnacentral:rRNA from 1 species
GUGCCAGCAGCCGCGGUAAGACGAACCUGACAAACGUUAUUCGGAAUUACUGGGCUUAAAGGGUGCGUAGGCGGCGCGACAAGUUGGGUGUGAAAUCCCUCGGCUCAACCGAGGAACUGCGCUCAAUACUGUCGUGCUCGAGGGAGACAGAGGUGAGCGGAACUUAGGGUGGAGCGGUGAAAUGCGUUGAUAUCCUAAGGAACACCGGUAGCGAAAGCGGCUCACUGGGUCUUUUCUGACGCUGAGGCACGAAAGCUAGGGUAGCGAACGGGAUUAGAUACCCCGGUAGUCC